rnacentral:rRNA from 1 species
GACGAACGCUGGCGGCGUGCUUAACACAUGCAAGUCGAACGGAAAGGCCCUGCUUUUGUGGGGUGCUCGAGUGGCGAACGGGUGAGUAACACGUGAGUAACCUGCCCUUGACUUUGGGAUAACUUCAGGAAACUGGGGCUAAUACCGGAUAGGAGCUCCUGCUGCAUGGUGGGGGUUGGAAAGUUUCGGCGGUUGGGGAUGGACUCGCGGCUUAUCAGCUUGUUGGUGGGGUAGUGGCUUACCAAGGCUUUGACGGGUAGCCGGCCUGAGAGGGUGACCGGCGACAUGGGGACUGAGAUACGGCGCAGACUGCUACGGGAGGCAGCAGGGGGGAAUAUUGCACAAUGGGCGGAAGCCUGAUGCGGCAACGCCGCGGGCGGGAUGACGGCCUUCGGGGUGUGAACCGCUUUCGCCUGUGACGAAGCGUGAGUGACGGUAAUGGGUAAAGAAGCACCGGCUAACUACGUG